rnacentral:rRNA from 1 species
GACAACCUGGUUGAUCCUGCCAGUAGUCAUAUGCUUGUCUCAAAGAUUAAGCCAUGCAUGUCUCAGUACAAGCCAAAAUAAGGUGAAACCGCGAAAGGCUCAUUAAAUCAGUUAUGGUUCCUUAGAUCGUACCAACAUUUACUUGGAUAACUGUGGUAAUUCUAGAGCUAAUACAUGCAAACAGAGCUUCGACCGGAGACGGAAGAGGCGCUUUUAUUAGAUCAAAACCAAUCGGCGGCGGGUUCGUUCGCGGGCUCGUCGUCGUUUUCACUGACGAAUCUGAAUAACUUUCUGCUGAUCGCACGGUCUCGCACCGGCGACGCAUCUUUCAAAUGUCUGCCUUAUCAACUGUCGAUGGUAGGUUCUGUGCCUACCAUGGUUGUAACGGGUAACGGGGAAUCAGGGUUCGAUUCCGGAGAGGGAGCCUGAGAAACGGCUACCACAUCCAAGGAAGGCAGCAGGCGCGCAAAUUACCCACUCCCGGCACGGGGAGGUAGUGACGAAAAAUAACGAUACGGGACUCAUCCGAGGCCCCGUAAUCGGAAUGAGAACAAUUUAAAUCCUUUAACGAGGAUCAAUUGGAGGGCAAGUCUGGUGCCAGCAGCCGCGGUAAUUCCAGCUCCAAUAGCGUAUAUUAAAGUUGUUGCGGUUAAAAAGCUCGUAGUCGAAUCUGUGUCCCGCGCCGCCGGUUCGUCGCUCGCGGCGUUUAACUGGCGUGUCCGCGGGACGUCCUGCCGGUGGGCUUAGCCUUUUCAUUAAGGCGGCCCAAUCUUAAUCCCGCCGCGGUGCUCUUCACCGAGUGUCGAGGCGGGCCGGCACGUUUACUUUGAACAAAUUAGAGUGCUUAAAGCAGGCUAAAACUUCGCCUGAAUACUUCGUGCAUGGAAUAAUGGAAUAGGACCUCGGUUCUAUUUUGUUGGUUUUCGGAACCCCGAGGUAAUGAUUAAUAGGAACGGAUGGGGGCAUUCGUAUUGCGACGUUAGAGGUGAAAUUCUUGGAUCGUCGCAAGACGGACAGAAGCGAAAGCAUUUGCCAAAAACGCUUUCAUCGAUCAAGAACGAAAGUUAGAGGUUCGAAGGCGAUCAGAUACCGCCCUAGUUCUAACCAUAAACUAUGCCAGCUAGCGAUCCGCCGAAGUUACUUCUAUGACUCGGCGGGCAGCUUCCGGGAAACCAAAGCUUUCGGGUUCCGGGGGAAGUAUGGUUGCAAAGCUGAAACUUAAAGGAAUUGACGGAAGGGCACCACCAGGAGUGGAGCCUGCGGCUUAAUUUGACUCAACACGGGAAACCUCACCAGGCCCGGACACCGGAAGGAUUGACAGAUUGAGAGCUCUUUCUUGAUUCGGUGGGUGGUGGUGCAUGGCCGUUCUUAGUUGGUGGAGCGAUUUGUCUGGUUAAUUCCGAUAACGAACGAGACUCA